rnacentral:rRNA from 1 species
AUUGAACGCUGGCGGCAUGCCUUACGCAUGCAAGUCGAACGGCAGCACGGGUGCUUGCCCCUGCUGGCGAGUGGCGCACGGGUGAGUAAUACAUCGGAACAUGUCCUGUAUUGGGGGGUAGCCCGUCGAAAGCCGGAGUAAUACCGCAUACGAACUACGUAUGACAGCGGGGGCCCUUCGGGCCUCGCGCUUUAGGGUUGGCUGAUGGCUGAUUCGCUGUUUGGUGGGGUAAAGGCCUACCAAGGCGACGCUCAGUAGCCGGUCUGUGAGGAGGACCAGCACAACUGGGACUGAGAACCGGCCCAGACUCCUACGGGAGGCAGAGGUGGGGAAUUUUGGCCAAUGGGCGAAAGCUUGAGGCAGCAAGGCCGCGUGUGUGAAGAAGGCCUUCGGGUUGUAAGCACUUUUGUCCGGUAAGAAAUACUUGGCCCUAAUACGGUCGGGGGAUGACGGUACCGGAAGAAUAAGCACCGGCUAACUACGUG